CUCCAAGACCUAAAAACCUCCCAUCAGGCCCCACCUCCAACACCGGGGAUCAAAUUUCAACGUAAGAUUUGGAAAGGUCAAAAAUCCAAACUAUAGCAGCUAGUAAAGCAUUAUUUCUGGGUGCGUCUGUGAGGGUGUUUCUGGAGGAGAUGGGCAUGCAAAUUGGUAAACUGAGUGGAGAAGUUCUGCCCUCAGGGGUGGGUGGGCACCAUCCAAUCGGUUGUGAACCUGGAGAGAACAAAAAGGCAGAGGAAAUUCUAAUUUGCAGUCUCUCGGAGCUGGGACAUCCUUCCUCUCCUGUCCUUGGACAACAGAUCCCCAGGUUCUCUGGCCUUUGGACUUUGGGACUUGCACUAGCAGCACCCUGAGUUAUUAGGCCUUUAGCCUUGGAAUGAGAGUUAUAUUAUCAGCUUCCCUGGUUCUGAGGCCUUCAAACUUAUACUGAGCCAUGCUACUGGCAUCCCAGCAUUUCCAGCUUGCAGAAGGCCUGCCAUGGGACUCCUCAGCCUCCAUAAUUGUGUCCUGUCAGCCGCUGGAUCCCACAAAACUCUGCAGAGAUUUUGCCACCUGGACUAAGUGUUAUAACGGGGAGUCCUUGAAAACUCAGAGCAGACAUCAAGCUCUAGACAAUCUCCAGCCUUCUCUCUCUCUGUGCCUUGAGAUGCUGCAGACGGGCAGACUUAAAAGGUAUCUUCAUCCAAAGCCUCUCAUUUUACAAGUAAGAAAACAGUUGUCAGAAGUCAGAACUUGAAAUCAGGUCUUUUAGAUCCUCACUUCUCAAAGUAUGACCCAUGAACCAGUGAAACCAGUCCCUCCCUCCCUUGCCCUGGGGAGCUUACUGGAAAUGUAGACUCUUAGACGCCACUCCAAACCCACUGACUCAAAGUCUGCAUUUGAAUAAGACCCCCAAGUAAUCUGUGUAUACCUUAGAAUCUGAGGGUGCUUUCCAAUAACACAGACAACAUUUCUAAUACAUUUUUAACUUAAAGUUUGUAUUUUUUUAAAUACAUGUUUGAGGGGAGGAGAUGAAGGCUACAGAGUAUUUUAACUCCAAAGAUGUGAAACAGGCAAGACCUGCUAGAUGAGCUGGAGCUCUCAAAAGGGCAAGCAGGAGCUGUGGAAUUAGAAGCUGCUCACCUCCCCUGGGACCUGCCUUCCACAGAACUAGAAGCUGACUUUCCAUUCAAUUCCAGGAAAGCGAUGUUAAAAGAGGCCAGGCUGUGACUCUUGUGUCCUUUCAUGAAUUUAAUGAAGACUUUAAUUCAGCUGGGAUUUCAGGAGGUUGAACCUGACCUGAGAAAUAAACUCAACUUACUCUUCCUACCAUAGUUCUGGUGAAGGCCAUUCCUGGCCAGUCCAGGCUCUUAGUCUUUCAGAAGAUGACACAAAGGCCUCAAGUAUGACUUCCUCAUUAAGGUAUUUUCUGACAUGGAGGCUGGUUCCAUUUUAUUUAAUCAUACCCUCAUUUCCCCUGAUAAAUAUCACAUUUACAUUUCUGUCUCUUUGCUAAGCUGCUUUAGAUUCUUUCUGACAAUCCCUAAGGGGACAUGUCUUUUCCCCCAACACCAUUUUAAACCAUAUUUAAACAAAACAGAACAACUUUAGGAAAUGAUAUAUAGUGUUUUUCUCAUACCAACUUUUAGUCCAUCAGUUUUUAAAAAUUAUCUUAAGCACUUCAGUAAUGCAUGGCUAAUGCAUUACUCUAGAAUUCCUUGCACCAUUUAUUUAUAAACUGAUUUUCAAUGAAAAACAUUCUGUAUUAGUAUUCCGAAUUCACUGAUGAUAAGGUUUGGGUCUGUGUCCCUGCCCAAAUCUCAUGUCAAAUUGUAAUUCCCAAUGUUGGAGGUGGGACCUGGGAGGUGAUUAGACCAUGGGGGUAGAUUUCCCUUUUGCUUUUCAAGAUCUGGUUGUUUAAAAGUGUGUAGCACCUCCCUCUUCUCUCUCUUCCUUCUGUUCCAGACAUGUAAGACAUGCCUGCUUCCCCUUUGCC
rnacentral:lncRNA from 1 species